rnacentral:lncRNA from 1 species
UUCAGGAUGGGAGAAACUCCAAAAUAUCAUCACGUGAUUUCGUACUUUUUUAUUUUAUUAUUUUAUAAUUUAAAGUGUAUUAAAUUAAUAACUUAUGAUUUUAUAUUUUUUUACUUUAGUAUCCUGUGAUUUAAAGUGCAUCAAUUCAGUACACUGUAGUUUCAUUUUUCUCUUUUCUCCAGCUCCUUUGUUAAUAUUUCGUUAAAUUAUAUACAAAAACUUCAGAUACCCUGUAGUUUCAUUUUUCUCUUUUAUUCGGCUCCUCUCUUAAUAUUUCGUUAAAUUAUAUACAAAAAACUUCAGAUACGCACCCUACCUAACUAGAUUUAUCGAAUAUUUAUUUUAGUAUCUUUUAGUUUUAAUUUUGUCACUGAUUUUUUUUUCCUUCGUUAAUAUUUCGUUAAAUUAUAUACAAAAAACUUUAGAUAUCCUACGUAGGUUUAUCGAAUAUUUACUUUAGUACCCUUUAAUUUUAACUUUGUCACUGAUUUAACGAAAAAUUAGUGAAAUAAAUAAUAAAAAGAAAAAAAUAAAACCACAUGGCACUAACUUAAUACAUUUUAAACUUGAAACCACAUGUGGGUAAAUUGCACUAUUACCCUCUGAACUUUUGGCGAAAUUUCACUUUAUCCCUCGAACUCCUAAAAUGGACAUCUAACCCCCUAAACUCUAAUAUUUCGUUCAUAUUACCCCUUCCGUCAGUUUUCCGUCAAACUCCGUUAAUCGGAAAUUAACGAAAGGUAUAAAACGAAUGAAAUAUUAGAGUUUAACGUAUUAGAUAUCUAUUUUAGGAGUUUGGGGGUUAAGUGAAACUCGCCAAAAGUUCAAGAAGUAGUAGUGCACUUUACUCCGUAGGGGACUCUUGACUAUAAAUUAUUUUAUUAUAAUAUGUUACUUAUGGAUUGACUACUAAUCCUCAAGUUAGUGAUCAUACUUGAUUUUAAAUUCAUAUAUAUUUUUUAUCCUAAAAUAAAUCAUACCAUAAUUUAUCCUACAUUUUAUUGUAAUAAAAUAAAAGUGAAAGAAAUGAAUUAGAAUGACUUAAAGAUAAAAAAAGAUAGAUACUAACUAUCUACGAUACUCGAACACUCUACUAUUUUGGUAUACUCGCUAAUAUGGUUAAUUUACAAUAGGUGUCCUCACUCGGAUAUAGAUAAUUUAAUUCUCAGUUAAUUUUCUGUAGUACUCGUUUGUCCCUUUUAUCUUUAGAAGCAUUAUUCUAUAAAAUACACUUAAAUAAAAUUUUUAUACUUCAUUUCAGUCAAUUAGAAAUUUUUAAUAUAAAAAUAUAAAAAUAAUUUAUAGUAAAAAUUGGGGUAAAUUGUAUUGUUACUUCCUGAACUUUUUGCAAGUUUCACUUAACCCCCCAGACUCCUAACAUAGACAUCUAACACCCUAAACUUUAAUAUUUUAUUCGUUUUACCCCUUCCGUCAGUUUCCGGUUAACGGAGCUUGAUGGAAAACUGACGGAAGGGGUAAUAUAAACGAAAUAUUAGAAUUUAGGGGGUUAGAUGUUCAUUUUAGAAGUUCAAGGGGUAAAGUGAAACUUCGCCAAAAGUUCAGGGGGUAAUAAUGCAAUUUAUCCUUUACUUUAGUACCUUUUAGUUUUAAUUUUGUCACUGAUUUUUUUUUCCUUCGUUAAUAUUUCGUUAAAUUAUAUACAAAAAAACUUCAGAUAUCCUACGUAGGUUUAUCGAAUAUUUACUUUAGUAUUCUUUAAUUUUAAUUUUGUCACUGAUUUAACGAAAAAUCAGUGAAAUAAAUAAUAAAAAGAGAAAAAUGAAACCACAUGGCACUAAUUAACUUGAUACAUUUUGAACUAUAAAGUACUAAAGUAAGAAAGUGCGAAACUAUAAGAGCUAAUUUAAUACACUUUAAACCACAUGGUACUAAAGUGAGAAAGUGUGAAACCACGUGGGAGUAUUUGAAGUUUAUCCUUCUUUUUAAGAGCACCGAUGGG